UACGUAGGGUGCAAGCGUUGUCCGGAAUUAUUGGGCGUAAAGAGCUCGUAGGCGGUCUGUCACGUCGGCUGUGAAAACCCGGGGCUCAACCCCGGGCCUGCAGUCGAUACGGGCAGACUAGAGUGCGGUAGGGGAGACUGGAAUUCCUGGUGUAGCGGUGAAAUGCGCAGAUAUCAGGAAGAACACCCGUGGCUAAGGCGGCUCUCUAGUACGGUACUGACGCUGAGACGCGAAAGCGUGGGGAGCGAACAGG
rnacentral:rRNA from 1 species